UACGUAGGGUGCAGGCGUUAAUCGGAAUUACUGGGCGUAAAGCGUGCGCAGGCGGUUUUGUAAGCCAGAUGUGAAAUCCCCGGGCUUAACCUGGGAAUGGCAUUUGGGACUGCAAGGCUCGAGUGCGGCAGAGGAGACUGGAAUUCCUGGUGUAGCAGUGAAAUGCGUAGAUAUCAGGAGGAACACCGAUGGCGAAGGCAGGUCUCUGGGCUGACACUGACGCUCAUGCA
rnacentral:rRNA from 1 species